rnacentral:rRNA from 1 species
AGCUCCAAUAGCAUAUAUUAAUGUUGUUGCAGUUAAAAGCUCGUAGUUGGAUUUCUGCAGGAGUGACAAUGUCCGCCCGUGUGCGUGCGCAGCGGCGCCCCUGCAUCCUUCGGUUACCUUCGCUCGGCAUUCACUUGCCGGCGGUAGGCUCCGAAUAUUUACCUUGAGAAAAUUAGAGUGUUUCAGGCAGGCUUAGCCGGAAUACAUUAGCAUGGAAUAAUAGAAUAUGACUACAGGCUCUUUGUGGUUCGAGGGACUGGAGUAAUGAUUAAUAGGGAUAGUUGGGGGCAUUAG